rnacentral:rRNA from 1 species
UAGGGAAUCUUCGGCAAUGGACGAAAGUCUGACCGAGCAACGCCGCGUGAGUGAAGAAGGUUUUCGGAUCGUAAAACUCUGUUGUUAGAGAAGAACAAGGACGUUAGUAACUGAACGUCCCCUGACGGUAUCUAACCAGAAAGCCACGGCUAACUACGUGCCAGCAGCCGCGGUAAUACGUAGGUGGCAAGCGUUGUCCGGAUUUAUUGGGCGUAAAGCGAGCGCAGGCGGUUUCUUAAGUCUGAUGUGAAAGCCCCCGGCUCAACCGGGGAGGGUCAUUGGAAACUGGGAGACUUGAGUGCAGAAGAGGAGAGUGGAAUUCCAUGUGUAGCGGUGAAAUACGUAGAUAUAUGGAGGAACACCAGUGGCGAAGGCGGCUCUCUGGUCUGUAACUGACGCUGGGGCUCGAAAGCGUGGGGAGCAAACAGG